rnacentral:rRNA from 1 species
CAAUAGCGUAUAUUAAAGUUGUUGCAGUUAAAAAGCUCGUAGUUGGAUUUCGGGGCAGCCUGGCUGGUCCGCCGCAAGGCGAGUACUGGUCAGCCGCCCUUCCUCUCGAAAGCCCCGACUGCUCUUUAUUGCAGUGGUCGGGUAGUUCGGGACGUUUACUUUGAAAAAAUUAGAGUGUUCAAGGCAGGCCUACGCCUGAAUACAUUAGCAUGGAGUAAUGGAAGAGGACCUCGGUCCUAUUUUGUUGGUUUCCAGGACCGAAGUAAUGAUUAAGAGGGACAGUUGGGGGCAUUCGUAUUUAGUUGUCAGAGGUGAAAUUCUCGGAUUUAUGAAAGACGAACAACUGCGAAAGCAUUUGCCAAGGAUGUUUUCAUUAA